CAAAAGCCCAUUGUGUGCAUCUCAAACUCACAUUCAGUGACAUCACAUCUGUAGCUUGACAUUGGCCAUGGUGAGAAUAUUUACACCAUGGAAAUCGGCAACUGCUACAGAGCAGGCAGCCUCCCCUGAUCCCAAAGGCCAAGUUCAGCUCCUCCUCUAACCUGAUCGAUCACAACUCUCGACGUGGCCAUUCUUGUGAUCUCUUCAGUAAUCUGGUACAGGUGUCUCUCGCAGAGCUUAGGGCAUGAGCUCUGUUAGGGCAGGAACCUUGACUCUGGAUUUCGACACACUUCCUGGCCCAGACUAGGUGACAAGCAAAUGUUGACCCAGUGGAAGAAUGGAUAUGCCAGUUGCAUUGAACACCAUCCACCAGCCUCUCAGUCAUCACAGACUUUGGGGCACACAUGCAGGACCAGGGCAAGUGGAGACAUUCCUUCACACGCACUGCGGCAGAGAACCCUCAGGAACUCCGGACUCCCCCAUGCUCCCCUGGGACCAUCAGACCAAGCCCUACCCUCCACAGGCCCGAAACCACCACAGGAGACAAGCAAGAGGACACUUAACCUCCGGAG
ensembl:lncRNA